AUUGAACGCUGGCGGCAGGCUUAACACAUGCAAGUCGAGCGGAAACGAUACUAGCUUGCUAGUAGGCGUCGAGCGGCGGACGGGUGAGUAACACUUAGGAAUCUACCUAGUAGUGGGGGAUAGCACGGGGAAACUCGUAUUAAUACCGCAUACGACCUACGGGAGAAAGGGGGCAACUUGUUGCUCUCGCUAUUAGAUGAGCCUAAGUCGGAUUAGCUAGAUGGUGGGGUAAAGGCCUACCAUGGCGACGAUCUGUAGCUGGUCUGAGAGGAUGAUCAGCCACACCGGGACUGAGACACGGCCCGGACUCCUACGGGAGGCAGCAGUGGGGAAUAUUGGACAAUGGGGGCAACCCUGAUCCAGCCAUGCCGCGUGUGUGAAGAAGGCCUUUUGGUUGUAAAGCACUUUAAGCAGUGAAGAAGACCAUAUGGUUAAUACCCAUAUGCGAUGACAUUAGCUGCAGAAUAAGCACCGGCUAACUCUGUGCCAGCAGCCGCGGUAAUACAGAGGGUGCAAGCGUUAAUCGGAAUUACUGGGCGUAAAGGGAGCGUAGGUGGCUCGAUAAGUCAGAUGUGAAAUCCCCGGGCUCAACCUGGGAACUGCAUCUGAAACUGUCGUGCUAGAGUAUGUGAGAGGAAGGUAGAAUUCCAGGUGUAGCGGUGAAAUGCGUAGAGAUCUGGAGGAAUACCGAUGGCGAAGGCAGCCUUCUGGCAUAAUACUGACACUGAGGCUCGAAAGCGUGGGUAGCAAACAGG
rnacentral:rRNA from 1 species